UUGCUUCAGCAGCACACAUACCAAAAUUAGAACAAUACAGAGAAGAUUAGUAUGGCCCCUGGACAAGGAUGAUAAUGCAAAUUUGUGAAGCAAUCCAUAUUUUA